rnacentral:rRNA from 1 species
AUUGAACGCUGGCGGCAUGCUUUACACAUGCAAGUCGAACGGUAACAGGGUGCUUGCACCGCUGACGAGUGGCGAACGGGUGAGUAAUGCGUCGGAACGUGCCGAGUAGUGGGGGAGAACGCAGCGAAAGUUGUGCUAAUACCGCAUACGGACUGAGGUAGAAAGUGGGGGACCUUCGGGCCUCACGCUAUUCGAGCGGCCGACGUCGGAUUAGCUAGUAGGUGAGGUAAAGGCUCACCUAGGCGACGAUCAGUAGCGGGUCUGAGAGGGAUGAUCCGCCACACUGGGACUGAGACACGGCCCAGACUCCUACGGGAGGCAGCAGUGGGGAAUUUUGGACAAUGGGCGAAAGCCUGAUCCAGGCAUGCCGCGUGUCUGAAGAAGGCCUUCGGGUUGUAAAGGACUUUUGUCAGGGAGGAAAUCCCUAGUGCUAAUAACACUGGGGGAUGACAGUACCUGAAGAAUAAGCACCGGCUAACUACGUGCCAGCCGCCGCCGUAA